rnacentral:rRNA from 1 species
UACAGAGGGUGCAAGCGUUAAUCGGAAUUACUGGGCGUAAAGCGUGCGUAGACGGUUAUGUAAGUCGGGUGUGAAAGCCCCGGGCUCAACCUGGGAAUUGCAUUCGAGACUGCAUAGCUAGGGUGCGGAAGAGGGAAGCGGAAUUUCCGGUGUAGCGGUGAAAUGCGUAGAUAUCGGAAGGAACACCAGUGGCGAGAGCGGCUUCCUGGUCCAGCACCGACGUUCAGGCACGAAAGCGUGGGGAGCAAACAGG